UGUGUGUGUUACACACACACACGCAUUCUCAUGCUCACUAUGCUAUGGAUACACACUCCAUAGCAUAGUGAGCAUGAGAAUGCGUGUGUGUGUGUAUCCAUAGC
rnacentral:pre_miRNA from 1 species